rnacentral:rRNA from 1 species
UACGUAGGGUGCGAGCGUUGUCCGGAAUUACUGGGUGUAAAGGGUGCACGGGCGGAUUCGCACGUCGAAGGUUAAAGACCUUGGCUUAACCAAGGAGAUGCCCUCGAUACGGUGAGUCUUGAAUGUGAGAGAGGAUGGUAGAAUUCCUGGUGUAGCGGUGAAAUGCGUAGAUAUCAGGAGGAAUACCGGUGGCGAAGGCGGCCAUCUGGCUCAUUAUUGACGCUUAGGCACGAAAGCGUGGGGAGCGAACAGGAUUAGAUACCCUGGUAGUCCACGCCCUAAACGAUGUAUGCUUGGUGUUGGAUCUUACGGGAUUCAGUGCCGAAGAAAACUCGAUAAGCAUACCACCUGGGGAGUACGAUCGCAAGGUUGAA